AACUAUUUAGUAUAAUUUACAUUUGUUUUGAAAGCUUAAAAUGAGGUGUCUCAGUAGUUU
rnacentral:tRNA from 1 species